UGAGAAUUGGACAUAAACAUUUCUACCCCUUAUGGUUGGCUGGACAUUUGUGUAGAACUGCAAAGCAUUUAUGGCUGAAGGAAUAUCUUGCAUUUGGAGGAGAGCCUGAUUUUUAGCCCGAAGCAUAACAAGUUUUGUUAUGACCCCAAAUGGCUGGAAUAGCUGAAGCAAAUCAUUUUCAGAAAUUUCAUGCCCAACAUUGCGGACGUGGAUAACUUUGGAAGGUUCUGCCAUCUUGUACCACCCUGAGAGGGAGAAAGAGAGGAGAGAGAGAGUGAACUGAGAGAGAGAGACAGAGAGAGACAGAGAGAGAGAG
rnacentral:misc_RNA from 1 species